rnacentral:rRNA from 1 species
GAGUUUGAUCCUGGCUCAGAGUGAACGCUGGCGGUAGGCCUAACACAUGCAAGUCGAACGGCAGCACAGUAAGAGCUUGCUCUUACGGGUGGCGAGUGGCGGACGGGUGAGGAAUACAUCGGAAUCUACUUUUUCGUGGGGGAUAACGUAGGGAAACUUACGCUAAUACCGCAUACGACCUACGGGUGAAAGCAGGGGAUCUUCGGACCUUGCGCGAUUGAAUGAGCCGAUGUCGGAUUAGCUAGUUGGCGGGGUAAAGGCCCACCAAGGCGACGAUCCGUAGCUGGUCUGAGAGGAUGAUCAGCCACACUGGAACUGAGACACGGUCCAGACUCCUACGGGAGGCAGCAGUGGGGAAUAUUGGACAAUGGGCGCAAGCCUGAUCCAGCCAUACCGCGUGGGUGAAGAAGGCCUCGGUUGUAAG